AGAGUUUGAUCCUGGCUCAGGAUGAACGCUGGCGGCGUGCUUAACACAUGCAAGUCGAACGAUGAAAGCGGGAGCUUGCUCCUGCUGGAUUAGUGGCGAACGGGUGAGUAACACGUGAGUAACCUGCCCUUGACUCUGGGAUAAGCACUGGAAACGGUGUCUAAUACCGGAUACGAACUUCGAAGGCAUCUUCAGGAGUUGGAAAGAAUUUUGGUCAAGGAUGGACUCGCGGCCUAUCAGCUAGUUGGUGAGGUAACGGCCCACCAAGGCGACGACGGGUAGCCGGCCUGAGAGGGUGAUCGGCCACACUGGGACUGAGACACGGCCCAGACUCCUACGGGAGGCAGCAGUGGGGAAUAUUGCACAAUGGGCGCAAGCCUGAUGCAGCAACGCCGCGUGAGGGACGACGGCCUUCGGGUUGUAAACCUCUUUUAGUAGGGAAGAAGCGAAAGUGACGGUACCUGCAGAAAAAGCACCGGCUAACUACGUGCCAGCAGCCGCGGUAAUACGUAGGGUGCAAGCGUUAUCCGGAAUUAUUGGGCGUAAAGAGCUCGUAGGCGGUCUGUCGCGUCUGCUGUGAAAACUGGGGGCUCAACCCCCAGCCUGCAGUGGGUACGGGCAGACUAGAGUGCGGUAGGGGAGAUUGGAAUUCCUGGUGUAGCGGUGGAAUGCGCAGAUAUCAGGAGGAACACCGAUGGCGAAGGCAGAUCUCUGGGCCGUAACUGACGCUGAGGAGCGAAAGCAUGGGGAGCGAACAGGAUUAGAUACCCUAGUAGUCC
rnacentral:rRNA from 1 species